CCGGAAAAUUAUUAUAAAUGCGGAGAUUGAGUGCGUAGAGCAUCAGAAAAUAAAAACUGCGCACCAUGUCGAAAAUAACUUUAAUUCUCUUCAUUCUCGGUGUUUUACUGACUAUUACAUUGGCGGCUGAUGACAAAAAAGAAGAAACUUGUGAGGGACAAUGGUGCCAUGUUAUGAAACAACAUAUAUAUGGCUGUUGUAAUGAGAAAUUUGUGUGUCGGCUAGUCAAUCCUUGGAAAUUUUGGAGUAGUGAAGGACAGUGCACAUGGAAAUGAACCUACAGAUAUAAUUAUUGCAAUAAUUGGGUUAAGACAGGCAAUGUAUUGUUUAUUUGAAGGAAUUUCAUGAGUUAUUAUAAUAAAUCUUACUUAUUGAAUAAAUCAUAAA